rnacentral:sRNA from 9 species
AUUCUACCCAUGUGGGGAAGGAUGAGAAGCUUCGACUAAGGUUCGAUUCGAGCGAAAGCGAGAGAACGUUGCCAACGGCAACGGCCCGAAGGGCGAAGCGCGCAGCGCUGAGUCAUCCUUCCCCCACCACCA